UACGAAGGGGGCUAGCGUUGCUCGGAAUUACUGGGCGUAAAGGGCGCGUAGGCGGAUAUUUAAGUUGGGGGUGAAAUCCCGGGGCUCAACCUCGGAAUUGCCUUCAAAACUGGAUAUCUUGAGUUCGGGAGAGGUGAGUGGAACUCCGAGUGUAGAGGUGAAAUUCGUAGAUAUUCGCAAGAACACCAGUGGCGAAGGCGGCUCACUGGCCCGAUACCUGACGCUGAGGCACGAAAGCGUGGGGAGCAAACAGG
rnacentral:rRNA from 1 species